rnacentral:rRNA from 1 species
CCUACGGGGGGCAGCAGUGAGGAAUAUUGGUCAAUGGGCGGAAGCCUGAACCAGCCAAGUCGCGUGAGGGAUUAAGGCCCUGCGGGUCGUAAACCUCUUUUGCCGGGGAGCAGAGGUCCGGACGUGUCCGGGCCGGGAGAGUACCCGGAGAAAAAGCAUCGGCUAACUCCGUGCCAGCAGCCGCGGUAAUACGGAGGAUGCGAGCGUUAUCCGGCUUUAUUGGGUUUAAGGGAUGCGUAGGCGGGCAUUUAAGCCGGCGGUCAAAUGUCGGGGCUCAACCCCGGCCUGCCGGCUGCACUGGGUGCCUUGAGUGGGCGAGAAGUAUGCGGAAUGCGUGGUGUAGCGGUGAAAUGCAUAGAUAUCACGCAGAACCCCGAUUGCGAAGGCAGCAUACCGGCGCCCUACUGACGCUGAGGCACGAAAGUGCGGGUAUCGAACAGGAUUAGAUACCCCAGUAGUC